rnacentral:rRNA from 1 species
UACGAAGGGGGCUAGCGUUGCUCGGAAUCACUGGGCGUAAAGGGUGCGUAGGCGGGUCUUUAAGUCAGGGGUGAAAUCCUGGAGCUCAACUCCAGAACUGCCUUUGAUACUGAAGAUCUUGAGUUCGGGAGAGGUGAGUGGAACUGCGAGUGUAGAGGUGAAAUUCGUAGAUAUCGUAAGGAAGACCAGUGGCGAAGGCGGGUCUCUGGACAGUUCCUGACACUGAGGCACGAAGGCCAGGGGAGCAAACGGG